ACUCCACUCCGCCAGUGCGGUAUAGUUUUUGGGCACUCUGCCAAUGUUGCCAGGGACGUGGAUCUGCAUGGCUGCAACUAGUUUCGGGAGGGGAAAUCUUCUUUUGCACCAUCACCAUUGGGGAACGGGAAAUCUGCAGGCACCACAACCACUCCAACCAUGAAAGAAAUUGGACAGUGAUGAGCUGAGCUGGUGAUCCUUCUUCUCUGCAUCUGGGGACAUAGGUGUCCAACAGGGCAUGGAUAUCAUCAGCCUGAAGGAGGAGUUACUGGGUGAUAAGGGGUUUCCCCAGACAUGCAUAAGGAAGCCCAAUCUGCGGACCCUUUCCCGGCAUAUUUUCUUCAAACAAAGCGCGUGGAUCUGGGCUUGUUCCAGUGAAAGCAGGAUAUCCUUCUCGCCGGACUCGUUAAAGUAAAACGUUUCUUCCAGUCCAUGAGAGUAUGUCCAACCGGCCUCAUCACCACAGACCAUGUGUAACAACGCCAUCCCAGGACCUCCACAUCUGACUUCUUCACCUGUGGGAUCGUCUGAGACCAGCCAGACAGCUGAUGAUACGGAGGAGUAUUUCUGUCUGUAAUAAAACCCUUAUGUGUCGAAAAACUCAUUCUGAUUGGCUGGGCCUUGCUCCCCAGAGGGUGGGCCUGGCUCCCAAGUCAGUGGGCCUAUGCCCUCACAGGCCCACCUAUGGCUGCACGACUGCCCAGUCAUGUGAAAUCCAUAGAUUAGGGUCUAAUGAAUUUAUUUAAAUUGACUGAUUUCCUUAUAUGAACUGUAACUUAGUAAAAUUGUUGAAUGUUGUGUUUAUGUAUUUGUUCAGUAUAGUUUGCAAAUGCAACUUACUGAUGUUAAAACUGAAAUGGUCUAUUCAUUCCUUUUACUAGACACUCUUAUUCAGAUCAAUUUACAGUAGUGAGUGGAUACAUUUACAUUUGUUUUUCCCCAUACUGGUCCCCCAUGGGAGUUGAACCAACAACCCUAGUGUUGCAAGCACCAUGCUCUACCAACUAAGCCACAUCAUCACAUUACAUCUUCACAAACCACUUGCUGUCUCAAUGUACUCAUUGCUUUUCCUUCAUGGUGAUGGAAAGUCUACAUGUACAAACCAAGAUAUGUUAAUGUACAUUUACAUUCAGUGGUUUAUUAGGAUGGUAAAUUGAUACUGAACAAAAAGUGGUUGUUUUCCAUGUUAUUUGAUCAAGAAAAAUAUUUAAUUUGAUGCCCAUAACUUUGCACCUUUUGAUGUAAAUGUUUGAGGACAGGGUUUUGGUCUUUCUGGAUUCCAUUGGAAUGAAGAUCACAGAUAAAGGGACUCUUACAAUUCAGGAUGGAUUGAAUCCUGCAAGAUAUUGUUAUUAAUUAGACAACACAUUUUUAUUUUUGCUUAAAGCAGAGAUGCUGAAAAAAUAUUUUUGCCUACACUACAGAAAAAAUAUAUAUCAUUGAGUUAAUAA